rnacentral:rRNA from 1 species
UACGUAGGGGGGCAAGCGUUGUCCGGAUUUAUUGGGCGUAAAGAGCGUGUAGGCGGCCUGGAAGGUCAGCUGUGAAAACUCGAGGCUCAACCUCGAGACGUCGGUUGAAACCACCUGGCUAGAGUCCGGAAGAGGAGAGUGGAAUUCCCGGUGUAGCGGUGAAAUGCGCAGAUAUCGGGAAGAACACCCGUGGCGAAGGCGGCUCUCUGGGACGGUACUGACGCUGAGACGCGAAAGCGUGGGGAGCGAACAGG